rnacentral:rRNA from 1 species
UACAGAGGUCCCAAGCGUUGUUCGGAUUCACUGGGCGUAAAGGGUGCGUAGGUGGUGGGGUAAGUCGGAUGUGAAAUCUCCGAGCUCAACUCGGAAAUGGCAUUGGAAACUACCUUGCUCGAGGGUUGGAGGGGGGACUGGAAUGCUUGGUGUAGCAGUGAAAUGCGUAGAUAUCAAGCGGAACACCAGUGGCGAAGGCGAGUCCCUGGACAACUCCUGACACUGAGGCACGAAAGCUAGGGGAGCAAACAGG